rnacentral:rRNA from 1 species
UCCAGAGACCUCAAGCGUUAUCCGGAAUGAUUGGGCGUAAAGCGUCUGUAGGUGGCUUUUUAAGUCCGCCGUCAAAUCCCAGGGCUCAACCCUGGACAGGCGGUGGAAACUACCAAGCUGGAGUACGGUAGGGGCAGAGGGAAUUUCCGGUGGAGCGGUGAAAUGUGUUGAUAUCGGAAGGAACGCCAGAGGCGAAAGCGGCACACUGGGUCUCAACUGACGCUGAGGCACGAAAGCCAGGGGAGCAAACGGG